UACAGAGGGGGCAAGCGUUAUUCGGAAUUAUUGGGCGUAAAGGGCGCGUAGGCGGCUUGGCAAGUGGAAGGUGAAAUCCCUCGGCUCAACUGAGGAACUGCCUUCCAGACUGCUUUGCUUGAGUCCGGGAGAGGUGAGUGGAAUUCCCAGUGUAGCGGUGAAAUGCGCAGAUAUCGGGAGGAACACCUAUGGCGAAGGCAGCUCGCUGGGACGUUACUGACGCUGAGACGCGAAAGCGUGGGGAGCAAACAGG
rnacentral:rRNA from 1 species